rnacentral:lncRNA from 1 species
UUAACACCAACUGCCUAACCAUUGCUUAACAACAUUAUUGGCCUGUGAAUUUAACAAGUUUAGAUAAGGUUCAUUAAUACUUGAAGUUCUUUUAUGAGUGACAAUCUGCCCCAAUGUGUUUAUCCCAGCUUGUGUUAUUACUUACUACAGACAGUGGGUAUAUGUUCGAGCCAAGACACGAGAGUAAUGCCCAGUGGUUCAUUACGGAGUAUCGCCAGAAGUAUUAUACGUAUCAAGGUUAUGUAAUAUAAUCUUAUUUGUGACUGGUACAUUUAUUUGAUGUCUUUGUUGUUAAUUCAAUAUGAAGUGUUGAAAUUCUCACGAUGUAUUUUUUUUCAUAUUACUGUAUUGAAUUUACUUUGUAUAACCCGAGUUGAGUGUUAUAUAAUUUUGUGUUUAUUUCAUUACUUUUUCAGUGCUGGUGACCGUAAUCGUGAACUAAGUAGAAAGUGUUUUAGCUCUCGGUCGACGUCAGUUUAUGACAAUUUAAUUUAUCAAUAUAACACGAGUUUAGUUUUAUAUUUGGUAUUAUUGUAUUUUUGUGUUGUUUCUAUUAGCUAAUAAUUUUAAUGCAUAGGGCGUGAGUUUCCAGCAGUAUAGACUUCCAGGCAUUGUCAGUAAGUGUACUAUAUUAUUUGAGAACUAAUACAUGUAUAAUAUCAGCAAUUGCAUUGAUUGGGUUGGAGACUCUUUAGUGAAAUGGACACCUUCAAAAGAAUACAAUCUUUGAAAAUGGAUUGUUGAAAUUACAUGUAAGGACGAUCAAUUGUGUGAGUACAGCACAGAGUAAUGGUUCACACAGUGUUGCACCAUUGUUACUACCAUUGUUUUUGAGUGUGUACAGUAAGUGUGUCCUGAUAAGUGACAAAAGAAUACAGUGAUACAUUUUCCUCAUGUAUUCACCUGUGAAGCCUUAAAGUAAAAGUUCUCACAUCCAGUAUUAUCACUAGUGGUGGUGAUGGAUAAUUUGAGCAGUAUUUCAGGUGUUUUUAUGUAUUUGAAGGCGUCCACUGUGUUGUGUUGUGUAGUUACAGUGAGUUGUGACCUCCAGGCAUGAUGGCCGUCACAAGGGGACAGUUCAGGGCAGCCACCAGUUGUCUCAUCAGGAGAACGGUCUGAUGGACAGGAAGGUGUAGGAGGGAAGAAGAGUAAGGAAUGCCUCUUGUACUAGUUAAUGAGAGACACCGGCAUCAGUGUUGUCGAGAUAUCUUCAAAGGGUUGUAGAGCUUUAAACUGGACCUUCUUGGUUGUUGAUGUGCCAUGGUGAAGUGCACGAUCUUGUUGUGUUGUACGUGGCUUUUGGUGAUUUUUAGAAGAAAGUGAGAGAAUUGAGAAUUGUUUUAAGUAUUUUGUAGAGGGAUUGUCAAGGAUGCAGUAAGGACAUAGAGAUUGUACGAUGGAUUGGCAUAAGUGUACAAUCAUCUGAAGGGUAUCUGUUACUGGAGUGAGUAAAGAUACCAGGUGUGAGAUCUCAAGUCCUGUUGUUGGUGUAUACUGUAGGUGUGGUGUUUGUGGCUUGUCAGUAGUACCGGGUAUGGAAGCUCGGCACUGAUACCGCUACAUGGUUAAUGCUAUAAGUAACAGACACUCCUUGGUUUGGUUGGGUUCCCAUAAGGACGGUUUCAUUUUGCGUAGGAUUCCUGGGAAUAUCUCCGCUCGUUCGGGCUCCCUCGAUGUUGCUCCAUCUCGUGAGUGUGACAUGACUCUUCGUAAUAGAGUAAAACAAAUCAUUCCUCCGGCUCGAUGGGGUCCGGUCAUCUAUGUCCUAGUUUGAGAAAUCUAUGUUAAAUCUCAGGGUGUUCAGUAAGCAUUUGACCAACGCCUAAGAGAAACUUUCCUGUGCUUGUGAACAUUGAAAUGUGUGUUCUGUAAUUUAAUGUAUUUGGUUGUGCAUUUUAUCUUCCAAUAUUAAAGUGUAUUCUGUAAUAUGUAACAUGAUUUAUUGUAUGGUACAGUAUGUUGUAUCUGUAACGUCUCACAGUGUGUGCACCAUAUCGUGAAACCAAUAACAGAAAAUAACAGUUAUUUAAGGAAUCAAUGUAAUUACAGUACAUGUUUUGUGAACUUUACUGCUUAAUAUGAAUCUUGGGGAAGGGAGGAGCAGUGUCGUGGUCAUAAUGACAUGGCUGGUCUGUUAAAACCUAAUAAUUCAUAUCACGCUCCAUGCCCACCAAACCUGUAAACCUUUUGAGUCUCCCAGUUGAAACAUUUGUUCUCUAAUCACUUCAGGAGACCCGAGUCCUCUGUUUUCUGUGUCGCAUUACCGGAAAGACUCAGGUAAUCCAAAAUACCACACGGGGUGUUCAUGAAAUUUGAAUUGGUGAGGGAACACCCUUGCUUUGCGUCAACUUAGAGAUGUCUAAUUACAAAUGAAGCAUUCAAGAUCCGUUGUGACUGAUGUUUAAAGCUUCAAUUGUGUUUACUGUUAACGUAAUUGUCAAUAUAAGUCAGGGUAGAGUCGGCAGUGAGAGUAAGGUAUCGUUGACGUCGGCCCUAGAGAUGCCAGUGAUUGUUGACCUAGGCUGACGUUACCUCUUUUACACACAUGAACAUCAGAGAACCUGAUGUUCAUGGUGAAAUUGUUGUCAGGAUGUUAAUUAUGAAAGUAAUUAAUUAACCUGAAAGGAACUGUCAGACCAGGCAUCUUUGAGAAUCUAACGGGUGUAACCCGAUACUGCUUUUCUUAGGCUCCGCCCACCAGGGACUACCAUCCUCAACCUUGAAAUCAAUUUAAUUCUUGUCUUCAACAGCUCAGUCAGAGUGUAGUUUGAGAAGCAAACCUUAGGAAAUGGAAAUGAGUUGGUAGUCUCAGUUUGACACAUCCAAGUGUACAGUAACGUACUAUUUUACCGUCAUUCUUUUCCAUUGGUUGAUACAGUACAGUACAGUAUACCCACGUGUCAUAACCCUCAGUUAUGGAGUAACUGUAUGAAGUAACAAAACUAAGCUAUAACUACUUUCUAUACUUUAUGAAAUAAGAAAAAGAAAGAAGGAAAAAGUUUGAAGAGUUUAAAAGUUAACCAUAAUGGGAUAAAUUAAUAAGAAAAUACAUCAAAUAACUCCCUCCUUUACACUUUGUUUAUUUUCCCCAGGUCUGACUGUGGCUGAGCCUUGUCUACAGGUCUGUGUUGGUUCCCGGUGCAUUAACUAAGGAAAUAAAUGAUCCAGGAAUUAGCUCAGGGGCUGGCAGUGUCUUCAUCUCAGAAAGUGACAGUGACAUGGAGAUUAAGGAUAAGACCCGACCAUUGAUGAUAAUGUUAACCUCUCCUGCAACAUUAAAGUACAGUACCAGGAUAUGCUGCUUACAACAUGAUGGACACCAUGCAUCAUGAGAUGUGAGCCAAGAUUGAGUGGUCAGAAUGUGCCAGACCUCACCUGGUAUGAAGGGUCAAGAUAAGUGCCGGAGGAGCAGACGCAGACUUGUGUUGACGGCUACUCUGGUUAUCUGGUCUGACCCGAGAUGACUUCCACCGUAAAUUCACCUGCACAGAAGCCGUCGGUAAACAGAGCAAGACCAUCACACUUGAUAUGAUAUGUGAGUACGGGACAGUAUUGUACUCUGAGUAGUGCCUAACCAAACCAGACCUAGAUGUGGUGUGGUGUGGCGUGGCAGAAGAAAGUAAACAUUAAUGACUUUGCGGGACAAUGUACAGCGGGGAGGGUUAAGAGGUUGUUUCUGGGGUUGAAAGAUGGUACGAUAUUGUUUAUGAAACUGCAUGUGUGUGUUGUGGCAACCUGUGGUGUAAAGGUCAGCCUCAGAGGAAGUGAUCCCCGGGCGGGUCAGAUCUAUAGGUAAGUUGUUUCCUUCAAGGACUCUGUCUGCCCAGCAGUAAAUGGAAACCUGGAUGUUAAUAGAUUUGUGGAUUGUGUUGUGGGGUAAUUGUGAGUUGUCCAGUCCUCUUGGAUUAUUCCCCGACACUGGGUUCACAGCUUGCUAACAUUGGCUGAGGUUGAUGAAAGUUUCUGUACCUUCAAAAAAAAAAAAAUCAUGCCCUGGUGACAGUAGGGCUGCGAGGGCCACCCAUUAUUAUUAUUGUGCAUUAAUGAAGAGUUUUCUUCAGGGCCUCCAGUGGAUGUUAAGAUCAGGGUUAAAGACCAGUUGAACAAUGGUUGUGGGGAAGUGAAAGAUGGUGUACCAGUAACCUUUGUGUGUAAUGCUGAUGGUUGACAACCUUCGUCUGUUAUCACCUGGGAUUUCUCUGAUCACUCAACAAGUAAGUUACUCUUUUACACAACUGUACUAUUAUACUGUACUACCCUUUAAUGUGGUCACUUUUAUUACAGGAUUAGCCCACCAGAGCACAGGUCAGUGACCCACACCAAUGUCUGGGGGCAAAAAUAUAAUAAUAAAAAUAAUAAUAAUAAUAAUUAAUAAAAUAGAUAAAUUAAAAAUUAUAAAAAUAUAAUAAUAAAGAACCAUAAAUUAAGAAAAAUCAAUACUAGUGAGACACGAUAUAUAUAUGGGAAUCAUUUAUUGUAAGAGGUGAGUGAAGAGAACUGAUGAUACUACAGGUUUUCUGUAUAAUAACUAUGCCUAACAUUUAUAACUGCUUGAGUUACUCUAUUUCUGCUACCUUGAUAAGCAUCACCUAAAGUUAUGGGUCUUUUGCAAAUUUCCUUUGGAGUUUGUGUUUUUAUUUUAUAAUUGCCUUUAUUUCACUGUUAAUGUACUGUAGGGUUUGGGCAGUUUUUAAUACCUUAGUCUUGAGGGGGAAGCAUUUAUCAAAGGAAACAUUGAAGAUGCCAGAGAAGUUGCAGCUGUUUACGUUAGGGUUGUAGUAUACUGCCAGAUUCUGGGGUCACUAAG